AACGGCGAGUGAAGCGGCAACAGCUCAAAUUUGAAAGCUAGCCUUCGGGUUCGCAUUGUAAUUUGUAGAGGAUGAUUUGGGGAAGCCGCCUGUCUAAGUUCCUUGGAACAGGACGUCAUAGAGGGUGAGAAUCCCGUAUGUGACAGGAAAUGGCACCCUAUGUAAAUCUCCUUCGACGAGUCGAGUUGUUUGGGAAUGCAGCUCUAAAUGGGAGGUAAAUUUCUUCUAAAGCUAAAUAUUGGCGAGAGACCGAUAGCGCACAAGUAGAGUGAUCGAAAGAUGAAAAGCACUUUGGAAAGAGAGUUAAAAAGCACGUGAAAUUGUUGAAAGGGAAGCGCUUGCAAUCAGACUUGUUUAAACUGUUCGGCCGGUCUUCUGACCGGUUUACUCAGUUUGGACAGGCCAGCAUCAGUUUCGGCGGCCGGAUAAAGGCUCUGGGAAUGUGGCCUCCACUUCGGUGGAGGUGUUAUAGCCCAGGGUGUAAUACGGCCAGCCGGGACUGAGGUCCGCGCUUCGGCUAGGAUGCUGGCGUAAUGGUUGUAAGCGACCCGUCUUGAAACACGGACCAAGGAGUCUAACAUCUAUGCGAGUGUUCGGGUGUCAAA
rnacentral:rRNA from 1 species